rnacentral:rRNA from 1 species
GGACUGCAGUCUGCAACUCGACUGCACGAAGCUGGAAUCGCUAGUAAUCGCAGAUCAGAAUGCUGCGGUGAAUACGUUCCCGGGUCUUGUACACACCGCCCGUCACACCAUGGGAGUCAGUAACGCCCGAAGUCAGUGACCUAACCGCAAGGGAGGAGCUGCCGAAGGCGGGACCGAUAACUGGGGUGAAGUCGUAACAAGGUAAC